rnacentral:hammerhead_ribozyme from 1 species
AUUGAACUGAUGAGUCCCACAUAGGACGUAACGUGCGUCCUGGAU